rnacentral:rRNA from 1 species
UACGUAGGGUGCGAGCGUUAAUCGGAAUUACUGGGCGUAAAGCGUGCGCAGGCGGUUUUGUAAGCCAGAUGUGAAAUCCCCGGGCUUAACCUGGGAAUGGCAUUUGGGACUGCAAGGCUUGAGUGCGGCAGAGGAGACUGGAAUUCCUGGUGUAGCAGUGAAAUGCGUAGAUAUCAUCUGGAACGCCAAUGGUGAAGACAGCUCGCUGGGGGUGUACUGACACUGAGACACGAAAGCCAGGGGAGCAAACGGG